AUAAGGUUAAGUUAAUAAGGGCGCACGGUGGAUGCCUUGGCACUAGGAGCCGACGAAGGACGUGACAAACGACGAUAUGCCUUGGGUAGCUGUAAGUAAGCGAUGAUCCAGGGAUUUCCGAAUGGGGAACCCAACAGGUAGUACCUGUUACCCACAUCUGUUAAGGAUGUGAGGAGGAAGACGCAGUGAACUGAAACAUCUAAGUAGCUGCAGGAAGAGAAAGCAAAAGCGAUUGCCUUAGUAGCGGCGAGCGAAACGGCAGAAGGGCAAACCGAAGAGUUUACUCUUCGGGUUGUAAGGACUGCAAUGUGGACUCAAAGAUUAUAGAAGAAUGAUUUGGGAAGAUCAGCCAAAGAGAGUAAUAGCCUCGUAUUUAAAAUAGUCUUUGUACCUAGCAGUAUCCUGAGUACGGCGGGACACGUGAAAUCCCGUCGGAAUCUGGGAGGACCAUCUCCCAACCCUAAAUACUCCCUAGUGACCGAUAGUGAACCAGUACCGUGAGGGAAAGGUGAAAAGCACCCGGAGGGGAGUGAAAUAGAACCUGAAACCGUGUGCCUACAACAAGUUCGAGCCCGUUAAUGGGUGAGAGCGUGCCUUUUGUAGAAUGAACCGGCGAGUUACGUUAUGAUGCGAGGUUAAGUUGAAGAGACGGAGCCGUAGGGAAACCGAGUCUGAAUAGGGCGCCUUAGUAUCAUGACGUAGACCCGAAACCAUGUGACCUACCCAUGAGCAGGUUGAAGGUGCGGUAAGACGCACUGGAGGACCGAACCAGGGCACGUUGAAAAGUGCUUGGAUGACUUGUGGGUAGCGGAGAAAUUCCAAACGAA
rnacentral:rRNA from 1 species